ensembl:lncRNA
CUCCGGUGUACUCCUGAACGCAGACAUGCAGCGACACAGAGCGACUUUGUGUGACUUUUCCUGAACAGUGCGAACACGUUUAACACGGCGCUAACCUCCCACCUAACUCUCACCGUUAAUGCACAGAGACUGCCCGUUUUUCAUGUUACUGUACGUUUCUCUUGGCAGGUCAGUCAGGGCCUCUACUUUCUUCAAACCAGAAGUCAUUUUCUCAUUUCUCAUAAUUAAGAGUUAAUUGGGAGUGCACCUGUGGUUGUAUUUAAAGUGCUUACCUUUAGAGCCAGUGCCUUUUAACCCUUGAUACCAUGAGACAAUCUGCGGACCUCCGCAAGUCCAGUUCCUCCUGAGAGGCAGGUACCACGGGCAUCUGUACAAACUUUGGCCCUAAAGAACAAGCUUUAGUCAAGUUAAGUUAAGGCUCUGUGUUACUGAUUAGAAGGUCGGGAGUUCAAGCCCCAGCACUGCCACAGUCUGGGUUGCUGAUCGGAAGGUCGGGAGUUCAAGCCCCAGCACUGCCACAGUCUGGGUUGCUGAUCGGAAGGUCGGGAGUUCAAGCCCCAGCACUGCCACAGUCUGGGUUACUGAUCGGAAGGUCUGGGGUUCAAGCCCCAGCACUGCCACAGUCUGGGUUACUGAUCGGAAGGUCGGGGAUUCAAGCCCCAGCACUGCCACAGUCUGGGUUACUGAUCGGAAGCUCGGGGGUUCAAGCCCCAGCACUGCCACAGUCUGGGUUACUGAUCGGAAGCUCGGGCGUUCAAGCCCCAGCACUGCCACAGUCUGGGUUACUGAUCGGAAGCUCUGGGGUUCAAGCCCCGGCACUGCCACAGUCUGGGUUACUGAUCGGAAGGUCGGGCGUUCAAGCCCCAGCACUGCCACAGUCUGGGUUACUGAUCGGAAGCUCGGGGGUUCAAGCCCCGGCACUACCACAGUCUGGGUUACUGAUCGGUAGAUCCAGCACUGCCAAGCUGCCACUGUUGUGCCCUUAACCCUCUCUGCUCCAGGGGCGCUGUAUCAUGGCUGACCCUGUGCACUGACCCCAACCUCCUGACAUGCUGGAGGAAAGAAUGACAUGUGAAGAAAAGAAUUUCACUUUGCACAUGCAUAGGUGAUCAGUAAAGACUUUUACCCUAUCCAGUAAAGACUCAUUUCCAUUAUCCUUAGUCCUAAAGGUUCGACUGAACCCCUAGACAACAAAGGAACUGGUGACGGAACUGGAGGCAUCAAGUACCCAAAUAUGUACAGCCACCUUUAAGAGAUUCUUACAUCGCUAUGUCCUGAGAGGCUGUACGGAAGAAGCCACUACUCCAAGACAGGCAUUUGCAUUAGAUCAGCAGCAUUUCCUCAGGUCAAAUAAAACAUAAUGGGCCAUAAUGAUCAAUUGUGAAGCAUGGGGGUGGCAGCAUCAUGUUAUGGGGAUGUUUUGCUCGGAAAGGGGCUGGUGCAUUUAUAUAAAGUAUAACCUCAAGACAUAAGACAGAAAGUUAAAACUUGGGUCUUCCAGCAGAACAGUGAUCCUAAGCAUACGUCCCACGCUGUAACAAAACGGCUUAAAGACAACAAAGUAAAAGUAUUUUAGUGGCCUGGAUCCCACAGAUCAUUCGUGGCGUGAACAGAGAAACCGUAUCUGAGCGAGGAGGCCCACAAAGCUGACCGAUUUACACCAGUUCUGUCCGGAGGAAUGGGAAACAAAUCCAGGAAAGUAUCGUGAGAAGCUUGUGGAAGGCGACGCCAAGCGUUUUAAAGG